UUUAGUUUCAAGUUCAGCCCCUCAGAGCCCUGCAGCAGCAGUCAGCUAGCAUUGUGUAACGUCUUUGUCACCAGUUUUGCACGAACCUUCUGCAGUCAUGUUUGCUCGUUCUAUAUGCGGAUCCAUGCUAAACAGAGGAACAUUUUUUGGAACUCUGGUUUUAAAUAAUACUGCAAGGAUUAACCAGAGCUGUGCGAGGCUGUUUGCUCUGCAUACUCCAAACAGGGGGGGGCAGCUCCUUUCAAAGGGAUUCCUUUUCCAGCUGGCCCCAUAUAGAGGGCUGUCUGGAUCCCGUUUCAAUGUACCACCAAGUGCUGAAUUUGUUGCAAGACCCUCAGGGAUUGCUUCCAUGUUUAAGCUACCGAUCCAGGACUCACCUGUGGGACUUGACGCAGCUUUUGUGGGCGUCCCGAUUGACACUGGCACCUCCAAUCGCCCUGGAGCAAGGUUUGGACCUCGUCAGAUCAGAGCUGAAUCCUCCAUGAUGAGAGUUUACAAUGGCAGCACUCGUGCUGCACCCUACCAGUCUCUGAUGGUUGCAGACAUUGGGGAUGUGAAUGUCAACAUGUACGAUCUGAAAGACACCUGCAGACGAAUCAGAGAAGCCUACCAGAAGAUUGUUGCAGGCGGCUGUAUUCCAUUAACACUGGGUGGAGAUCAUACAAUAUCUUAUCCAAUUCUCCAGGCAGUUUCUGAGAAACACGGGCCGGUGGGACUAAUACACGUGGACGCCCAUGCAGACACCAGCGACGUGGUCCUCGGAGAAAAGAUUGGUCACGGCACACCGUUCCGCCGCUGCGUGGAGGAGGGGCUCCUGGACUGUCAAAGAGUUGCCCAGAUCGGACUGCGAGGCUCAGCCUACUCAGCUGACGCAUACCAGUGGAACAGAGAACAGGGUUUCCGAGUGGUACAGGCGGAGGAGUGCUGGUGGAAGUCGUUGACCCCGCUGAUGACAGAAAUCCGAAAGCAGGUUGGCGAUGGCCCUGUGUAUCUCAGCUUUGACAUUGAUGCUCUGGAUCCUUCCUACGCACCCGGCACAGGCACUCCAGAGAUCGCAGGGCUCACUCCCAGUCAGGCUCUGGAAAUAAUCCGUGGAUGUCGUGGGAUGAACAUUGUCGGCUGUGAUCUAGUAGAGGUGUCUCCUCCCUACGACACCACAGAGCUUAAUACAGAUCUUGUGUAAACAGAGUCAAAGGCUUUUUCAUAGUCGAUGAAUCCCAAGCAAAGUGGUAGUUCGUACUCGUUGCUGGUUUGAAUCACUUGCAGAACAACUUGAAGAUGAUCCAUUGUGCUAAAUCCGCUCCUGAAUCCCACUUGCUCAUGAUUGUGACGAGUCAAAUUUAUCUUGCAGUCUGUUGAUCUUGAAGAGCACUGAAUCUAUUCUUCAGUUCCAGUUGAAACACCAGGCUUUGCUUCUGGAGCAUUUCUACUUUGAUUGUGCUGGAUUUCGUCAUCACGAGUUUCGCUCUCUCCAGUGCUGUGUUUAGGUGUAUUUUGCAUCUUACAAAUCUGUGGUCACUUCCUGUGUUAAAAUUGUUUAGUACUGAGACAUCACAGGUAGGAAUGAACAAAAAGACCAAAGCAAAGCAGCCUCAUUUCUUUGUACUGAGGUCAUGGUUUCAGCCUCACUUAAAUGCUAAUACACACUAUAUCAGAUGAGACAUCUACAUGCUAAUGCAUCUCUAAUGGUGUGCUUCUUGUUGGUGAGUAUGCAGUCAAUUUCAUUCUUCACUCCGUUGGGUCCUCUCCACGUCAAAAUGAGAAAUAAGAUAUACCUUAUUUAAGUUCAUGAUCAUGUAAACUCAGAUUUCCUUGACAAUAAUCGACUUUCACACAACGUGUCAGAAAUAUAAAAAAGGAUCAUACUGUAGGCCCAGCUGCUGGCUAUGCUUCGACGUGGAGACCAAGACCCGCUUUCAGAUCAAGGCAGUGUCCCGUUUACUGUUUCAGUCUCUUGUAGGGCAAAGAGCUAGGGCUCUCUUCAAAGCUGAUUUCAGCCUUCUCAGAACAUGAUUUUAGCCAUAGAUUCUCCCAUGAUGCCAGCAGACUUUUAUUGCUUUCUCCAAGCUUCAGAAACUUUCUUCAGAGCAGUUCAGCUUCCCUUACAUUCCUCAGAACUACUUCCCCAUCACUACUUUCUUUGCCUGUCCCAGUCUUUUUUAAUUAAGUGCCGACCCAUUGUGAUUGGAUCGUUGAAUUCAUGGGCGGUGUUUGACGUCACACAAUGUGCCUAAACACUGGUUAGCUCGUCUCUGAGCCAUUCCUUGGUCUUGCCCACAGCUCAUGAUUGGCAGUUCACUCAAAUAUCCGUUGUCUUGUCAAAAGGUGAUUCGUCAAAGUCUUCCAGAGAUUUCAAUUUGUGAUAACGCAAAGGAAUUUCUACAACUCUAAUCUAACCUACUUUGAGCAAGAGAUGGGGUGAAAGAGAAAAAAUAUUAACUUGAAACUCUCAAACACGUUUAAACAGUGUAUAUUACAUCCAGUAAUAACCUGAUUCAGAAGGUUUUUUUUUUACAUUUAGCCAUUUUCUCUUGUGAAAGGCAUUCCUUUGAAAAGGGGUGAGACUGACAGUGAUGAGAACCAAUCACAUAAGAACAUAAGAAAGUUUACAAAUGAGAGGAGGCCAUUCAGCCCAUCUUGCUCGCUUGGCUGUUAGUAGCUUAUUGAUCCCAGAAUCUCAUCAAGCAGCUUCUUGAAGUAUCCCAGGGUGUCAGCUUCAAUAACAUUACUGGGGAGUUGUUCCAGACUCCCACAAUUCUCUGUUCUGAAUGCCCCUUUAUCUAAUCUCCAUUUGUGACCCCUGGUCCUUGUUUCAUUUUUCAGAUCGAAAAAGUCCCCUGGGUCGACAUUGUCAAUACCUUUUAGAAUUUUGAAUGCUUGAAUCAGAUCACUGCAUAGUCUUCUUUGUUCAAGACUGAAUAGAUUCAAUUCUUUUAGCCUGUCUGCAUACGACAUGCCUUUAAACCAGGAAUAGUUCUGGUCCUUCUUUGCAGUCUUUCUAGAGCAGCAAUAUCCUUUUUGUAGCGAGGUGACCAGAACUGUACACAAUAUUCUAGAUGAGGUCCUACUAAUGCAUUGUAAAGUUUUAUAUAAUUACUUCUCUUGAUUUACACUUUUCACAAUAUAUUGACCUUUUUAUAGCUUCCCCACAUUGUCUAGAUGAAGACAUUUCUGAGUCAACAUAAACUCCUAGGUCUUUUUCAUAGAUUCCUUCUUCAAUUUCAGUAUCUCCCAUAUGGUACUCCCAUAUGGUAUUUAUAAUGCACAUUGUUAUUGUCUGCAUGCACUUUUCUCUAUCAAAUGUCAUUUGCCAUUUGUCUGCCCAGUUCUGAAUGCUGUCUAGAUCAUUUUGAAUGCUACUGCAACAGUUUGCCACUCCUCCUAUUUUUGUGUCAUCUGCAAAUUUAACAAAUUUGCUUACUAUACCAGAAUCUAAGUCAUUAAUGUAGAUUAGGAAGAGCAGAUGACAAAUACUGAUCCCUGUGGUACACCACUGGUUACCUCGCUCCAUUUUGAGGUUUAUAACAGUCUUUGGUUAUAACACUCAUAUUGUGUGUCCCCCGAGACCCGCGUUAUAGCGAGUGAGCACUAUAUAUAUAUAUUGUAAGAUAGCGGGUUGUGAGAGACAGCAGGGAGGGGGUUAAAACCUCCCUGCAAAAGAAACAUGUGAGAAUUUACUUUUUGGUUUAUUGUUUAAAUUUAAUUGUUUAAUUGUUUUAUUAAUGAUCAUCCGCACCUGGGUGUUAUUGGGGAAUUAGACCCAGGUGUGGAGUUUAAAAGGAGAGCAGGCAGUCUGUUCGAGGCUGCUGAGGAGAAGGAGGCAGAAAGGGGUGCUCUGCUUCCUGGCAGUCGGGAGUGAAAGUGUAAGUGCUGUUUCAAACCAGUGUGUUUUGUGAGGACGGGGAAACAGCGUAGCUGUCCCGUGUUAGUCAGGGUGAUCCUGUGUGUUAGUUAGUGCUCGUACAGAGCUAGGCGUUUGUUUUGUAUUUUGUUUAUUUUUGUGUUUAUUAAACAUAGCGCACCAGCGCUUAAAAAUCCAUUUCUGUCGUGUUGGGUCUAGUUUUAAAGGGGCAACGAACCCGAGUGGGUGCAAUCUUUUACAAUAUAUAUAUAUAUAU